GCGCGCUCUCGCGGCCGUGCGGCCGCCGCACGCGGGCGGGGCUGGGAGCGCGCGCCCGAGAGGCGCGUGGGGCACCCGCCGCAAAGAGGAGCCUGCUGGUCUGCUGGCGGGCAGGCGGCGCUGGGCCGGAGCCUCUCCCUCCGGUGCGCACAGCGCACCCUCUCCUCCCCCGGCCGCCCGUCGCAGCGCGGAGAGGGCGUGUCGGCACCCUGCCUGGCGAGCGCCCACCCCUACAAUGGCUGCGAGCGCGCGGGACGGAGGGUGCACCGCCGCUCCCCGGGGACUUGCACGGGUGGCGCGCCUAGCCCAGAGCCCGCUUGUAGUGAGCGCUCAGUAGGGCGGGAAAGCUGCUGCCGCUACUGCGGCCUUCUGAGAAGACGCCCAUUCUCUGAUGUCAGGACUGCAUCGCCGAGUCCUGAUUGCAAAUAGCGAAAUAUAUAAUUAAGGAGAGUUCGGGGGCGUAUCCUGCAAUGGGAUGCCGAGUUCGAUAAAGUUGCAGGAUGCUGGGAAAGUGGAUUGAUUUGCUGUUGCUAAAUGAAUGGAAACAGCGUUAGAGCUUCUGUCCACGAUCCAUCAGUCUAUCGAGAUUGCUGAUUGCCUAUGACUUGGACGGUUGAUGGUUUUCAGGCCCACUGAGAGCAGCCAGCGUUGGUAUAACCGCAGGGAGCCCUCCUGGGAGGUUGAACCUGCAGAGCGCAAAUGUGCCCAGGUUGAUUUGGGGCCUAGUGGUCCAUUUUCACAGCUCCACUGCCUAUCUGCAUAACCAGGAGCCCUCAUUCAGAUGAACGCCAAAUGGGCCAGAGGGAGGAGAAUCAAAUGAGCAACUUUUAAAAGAUAUUAAGACAUAGGCACCUAACUCCGGACAGUUCCUUUAACCCUUGAGCUAACCAUUUGAAGCACAAAACAUAACAAAAGAAAAGACUGGGGGGAGUGGGGCCAAAAGAAACCAAGUGCAAAAUUCUGUACACUUGUGUCAGAUUCACUCCGUAAUGGGAAAAGGUCUGGCUUUGAAAACUUUAUGGAUCAAAGGGAUGCAUGGAGUUACACAGCACAGCUGCAGAAGAUAAUGUUCCCCUGGAUCACUCUGCCCAACUCUUAACUGCAACCCACCUUCCCCAUCCGUCUCCCCGAAAUCACCCGGAAGGGUGUUACCUUCAGGAAGUAACUGAUCUCUUGAUCACCCCUGCUGGAUCCUGUCCCCAAGGGCGUUCGAAUGCAUCCGACUCAUCUUCACCUUGCCAAUAACGGGUGCUUGACACAUCGUUUGCUGCCAAUCAUUAUUGUGAUUUUAAUACUAUUGGUAUUCUAACUAUCAAGAUGACUGCUUGUAGAGCCAGAUUGCCUGGAUUCAAACUCCAGUUCACAACCUACUAACUGUAUGCCUUUAGGUAUGUUACUUAACCUUUCUGGGCCUCAGUUUCCUCAUCCAUCUGUAAAUGGGGAUAAUGAUGGCUUCUACCUGAUAGGGCUGUUCUGAACAUUACAUGAGCUGAUCGAUGAAAGCACUUCAAGUGGUACCUGGCAUCUCGUAAACUCAGAUGCCUCUGAUGGAUUCGAAAUAACCAGAUAUAUUUCUGAAUUGCUUCAUAUGGGGGUAAUGCUAUUUACCUGGGAUCCUAUCCAGCAGCUUCAAAGGUGGUGGCAGCCAUUACCCGACUAAUGAGCACAACACCCCUGGCUCCCUGUCUUCAAGGCAGGAAGAUGCUGUGAUGCACAUCAGGAGAUGGAGGGAAAAGAAAUGACUUGCCCACCUGAGUGGCAGGUGAGUCACAUUAGCCUCUCUGUGCCUCGCUUUCCUCAUUUGUAAAAUGAGAGGGUUGGUCCCUUCCACGUGAUGUCUUCCAUAUGAGUCUGGCUGACCUGCAGACCUGAUUUUAAGCUCUCUCUGGGUUCUUUGUCUGUUUUAGAUAUCUAGACAUAUAUGUCUGUCUCUGUGUGUAUGUGCAUGUUUAUGUGUUGCAGAAACAGUUGGGAAAAGAGAUUAAGGAAGGGAUGGUGCUGUUGGCUCCAGGCAGUGACUCAAGGAGGCAUUCAUGGUGAAAGAAGAAAGGCCUUUCUCAGGUGAUGCUUCAUCUUCCCCCACGUGCUCUGAUACCCUGUCCCUGCCUUGAUGUGUCUAUAAAUACAAACAGCAGGAGACCCGCAUCAGUAGACAAAGCAGGUGGCUGCAACCUAUUCUUCUUCCCAAUGGCCACUGGGACAGUUCCUCUCCCCCAGAACUUGUUGUUUAUAUUUAUUUUACACUAAAGCUAUUUUAACAUAAACCUGUUGAAAUAGGAGAGGGCUUCCCAUCUCACACCUCCACAGAUGUGUAUUUUCUAGAACAAAUUCAAGACUAAUCAUAAAAUGAAAACAGAUUUCCACAAAGUUGUUCUUUAUAAUGUAAAUUUUUUUCUGACAGGCAGCUUAAUACUUCAAAGGGCAACCCAUUCCUUUAUUGAUUAUAACUAAUUGUUUGAGAUUUUCUUUAGCAUGAGUUGAAAUUUUUCUUCCUUUGUCAAAGUGAAGGAAGGGACUUGUAUACAAGGAAGGUCCUUGUAUAAAGGACCUAUCAUCAAGGUACCAUCUCUCUUUAAACUUUAACUCCCAGAGGAGAAAUACCUAUAGCCACACAAUUCAUGUACUUUUUAGUCAUUGGAUCUCUAUGACUAUUAUCAUUAUAGAAACUGUUUUAAUAUAAUAAUAAUUUGAAAACUGGAUUUUAAGAAUACAAAUUUAGAAAUAGCAGUUCUCUCUAGAGACUCAUUCAUGAAUAUGGAAAGAUCUUUUAUCAGAUAAUUCCCCCCAGGGGUCCUUUAAAUAGCAAUCUCCUUCGUUUUGAUUCAAUUUGUAGAAAUCCCAUCUAGAUGCAUUACUGGACCACACAUUGUGUAAAGGAAGGUACAUUAUGUGUUGGGUAACCAUUUGGCUCUCUCUUUCUUCCCAACUUGUGACUAAUUGAUUUUGCCAUUAAUUGGGAUUUCCCCUGGAGGCCAUUUGAUCUGUUUGCAGGAUGAGCAGGGAGUUAGGGCAGUCCCUCCAGAUGGGACGGCUUUCAAUAAGCAGACAGUCCAAAGGGGCAUCAGAGUGAUACAGAAACGAUUAAUUGAAUAACUCACUUGAAAAUCAUGUGCUGCUUUAAAGACCUAAAAGCUAAGUAAAUACCUAAGUAAAGGCCAUACUGAUCAAGUAAGACUCCUUGUUGCAGCCUGGCUGAGAAUAAUGCCAGGAAAAAAAAAAUUUAAGAGCAUCCCAUUAAUGGAUUCUUUAAAAUACUGGAAGCAUGAUUCCAGGCAAUAACAUACUGUAAUCCCCAUAAUACUCACAUUUGCAUAACUCUAGAUAAUUUAUGAAGCAUUUUCGCAGAUACUGUGCAGAUCUCACACUGACACGGGGGUGGGUUGGCUGUGAAAGGGCUCAACUGGACUUACAUUCCAGGAGCAGAAACAGGCUUGGAGCUGUGGACUUCUCAGAGGCAUACAACUAGUAAGUGGCAGAAAUAUUACCAGAACCCAAAACUUCUAAUUCUAAAUUUCUUGACAACACACAGCACCAUCUCCCCAGUGCAUCACAGCUAAAACCACCUUACUGGACUCUGUUUUACCCUGGAGAAGAAAUGCAUACUGACUGAGGACUCUGCUCCAUGCCUGGCAAAAUAUUUGUAUUAUUUUUACAAGUAUGUUUUAGUUUUAUACAGAUAAAUACAAUUUUAAAUGGUUAAAGAUGGCCUCAUAUUUAAAAAGCACAUUGGGAGCCACUGUGUUAGAUUAUGCAGUGCAGACAUAGAGAACCAAAAGGCUAUGUGUGGUGGGAAUAGUGAGGCAGAACAAGAACUUUCUAGAAAAGGAAAGAAAGGAGAGAACCUGUGGAGCGGAGCUGGGAACCAGGCUGGAGAGGAGAGGGAAUAGCUGUCCAGGAGCAGCUAUGCAUGUAAACUAGACAUGAGGCUCUAUUUUAUCGAGAAUUUUCCUUCUCUUAUCUCUACAUGCCCUUUCCCACUACCACCUAGCAGUCAGCUUUAUCCCCUGAGAGGACUUAGGGAAAUGGAAGGAGGAGAGGAGCUGACUUUGUCUACCUAAUAAGAGAAGGACAAGGGGAAGCCAUUAUCCUGACCUUUCUGUCUCCCCAGGAAAUGGGUAUCUACCUCUUUGCAUUUGUUUACUAAGAAAGGCUAUUCAAGUGAUUUUUCCUAGAAUAAUGAAAGAUGUUUCUAGAAGGUUUGCUUUCUCCCCAACACAAAGAAGCAGCCAGGAAUUCCUAAAUAUCAAGCUUUUUUAAAAAAAUUCCAUUUCACCAGGCAAUCCACUAUGCACGUGAGAACAGCACCUACUUCAUAUGCUUGUUGUAAGAUGUAAUCAAGACCACGUACCUAAGCUGUUUACACAGGGGCAGGCACAAGUUAGGCAUACCAUGAACAUUUGUGUCUUAGUCUGUUUUCUGCUGCUAUAACAGAAUACCUGAGAUGGAUUAAUUUAUAAACAAUAGAAGUUUAUUUGGCUCACCGUUCAGGAGAUUGGAAAGUCUAAGAGCAUGGUGCCUGCAUCUGGUGAAGGCCUUCAUGUUGUGUCAUCCCAUGGCAGAAGGUGGAAGGCAACAAAGGGCAGCAGUGAGCAAGCAAGAGGAGGCUGGACUCGCUUUUAUAACAAAGGUACUCUGGAGAUAAAUUACCCACUCCUGUGAUAACAACAUUAAUCCAUUCAUGAGGGCGGAGCCCUCUGACCUAAUCACCUUUUAUUAGGCCCCACCUCCCAAAAACUGUUGCAUGGGAUUAAGUUUCCAAAACAUGAACUUUGGGGAACACAUGCAAACAAUAGCAAUUUAUAAAUAAGGACCAAAAUUUGUUGAGGACUUAACAGGUGAACCCAAGAGCUACAAUGGGGCUCCAGGCACAAUCUUUGUCUUCAAGGGGUAUAUUAGUCUGUUCUCCUGCUGCUAAUAAAGACAUAC